rnacentral:lncRNA from 1 species
AUUGUUAAUAAUUAAUAUUUACUAAUUUGUCUCUAGUUCGAACUCAUUAGCCAUGACAAAAGUGAGAUUAUUAUUUAUAUUAAAUAAAGGAAAGCAAUUCUUCAACACGGUCAGCUGUAUCUAAGGCGAAUUUUCCCAAGAAGGAAUUUGGUUCUUCAUAUCGGAACAUAAAUCUUUAACAAAAAAAUAAUAUAUUUUUUGAGAUUUUAUCUAAAACGUUGUUAAGUUUGUUUGAAAACUGGAAAGCAUUUCAGGCUUAAUAUAUCGGGUGUGACGUCACGCUCCAUCGACAAAAGAAAUAAUGGAAAACGCUUUGUGGAGGAUCAGUCCAAAUAUGUAUAACUGACCUUGUAUUUCAAGUUACCUUGUACAUACCCAUGAAUGUAGUGCUUCGCUGUUUGUCCGUUCACUUCCUGCGGCUUAUGUAACUCCAAACAAUAACUUCCUCCUUAUAUACUUAAAAUAUAUGCAAAUAUAUUCUUAAUACUCUUUUAUCUAAAUUACAUAAACAUAAAUUUAUGAGUGAAGUAUAUCUCCCAUAAAUACUUCAAAACUAAAUUUU